rnacentral:rRNA from 1 species
GACGUAGGGCGCGAGCGUUGUCCGGAAUUAUUGGGCGUAAAGAGCUCGUAGGCGGUCUGUCGCGUCUGCUGUGAAAACUCGGGGCUUAACCCCGGGCCUGCAGUGGGUACGGGCAGACUAGAGUGCGGUAGGGGAGACUGGAAUUCCUGGUGUAGCGGUGAAAUGCGCAGAUAUCGGGAGGAACACCGGUGGCGAAGGCGGCGACCUGGGUAGAUACUGACGCUGAGGUGCGAAAGCGUGGGGAGCAAACAGG